UACGUAGGUGGCAAGCGUUGUCCGGAUUUACUGGGCGUAAAGGGUGCGUAGGCGGAUAUUUAAGUGAGAUGUGAAAUCCCCGAGCUUAACUUGGGUACUGCAUUUCAAACUGGAUAUCUAGAGUGCAGGAGAGGAGAAUGGAAUUCCUAGUGUAGCGGUGAAAUGCGUAGAGAUUAGGAAGAACACCAGUGGCGAAGGCGAUUCUCUGGACUGUAACUGACGCUGAGGCACGAAAGCGUGGGUAGCAAACAGG
rnacentral:rRNA from 1 species